rnacentral:rRNA from 1 species
UACGUAGGGUGCACGCGUUGUCCGGAAUUAUUGGGCGUAAAGAGCUCGUAGGCGGUCUGUUGCGUCGGCUGUGAAAACCCGGGGCUCAACUCCGGGCCUGCAGCCGAUACGGGCAGACUAGAGUUCGGCAGGGGAGACUGGAAUUCCUGGUGUAGCGGUGAAAUGCGCAGAUAUCAGGAGGAACACCGGUGGCGAAGGCGGGUCUCUGGGCCGAUACUGACGCUGAGGAGCGAAAGCGUGGGGAUCGAACAGG